rnacentral:rRNA from 1 species
ACACGACUACAUUAGAUACCCCUGUAGUCCUAGCCGUAAACGAUACUCGCUAGGUGUCGGCCACGGUGCGACCGUUGUCGGUGCCGUAGGGAAGCCGUGAAGCGAGCCACCUGGGAAGUACGGCCGCAAGGCUGAAGCUUAAAGGAAUUGGCGGGGGAGCACCACAACGGGUGGAGCUUGCGGUUUAAUUGGAUUCAACGCCGGAAAUCUUACCGGGACCGACAGCAACAUGAAGGCCAGGCUGAAGACUUUGCCGGAUUAGCUG